rnacentral:tRNA from 1 species
AUUGAUUUGGCAGAGUAGUGCAAAAGAUUUAGAAUCUUUAAAAGUAGAUUUACAGUCAAUA